UACGUAGGCAGCGAGCGUUGUUCGGAGUUACUGGGCGUAAAGAGUGCGUAGGCGGUGCUCCAAGUCUGGUGUGAAAUCUCCCGGCUUAACCGGGAGGGUGCGCCGGAAACUGGGGUGCUGGAGUGUGGGAGAGGUAAGCGGAAUUCCCGGUGUAGCGGUGAAAUGCGUAGAUAUCAGGAGGAACACCGAUGGCGAAGGCAGGUCUCUGGGCCACUACUGACGCUGAGAAGCGAAAGCAUGGGGAGCGAACAGG
rnacentral:rRNA from 1 species